AGGGUUUGAUUAUGGCUCAGGAUUAACGCUGGCGGCAUGCCUAAUACAUGCAAGUCGAACGAGAUAUUUAUAUCUAGUGGCGAACGGGUGAGUAAUGUAUUUCUAACCUGCCCCUAAGAGUGGGAUAACUAUUGGAAACGAUAGCUAAUACCGCAUAGGAUAUAGGAUCGCAUGAUCUUAUGUUUAAAGAAGCGUUUGCUUCGCUAAGGGAUGGGGAAAUAUGACAUUAGCUAGUUGGUAGGGUAAAGGCUUACCAAGGCGAUGAUGUCUAGCCGAGCUGAGAGGUUGAUCGGCCACAAUGGGACUGAGACACGGCCCAUACUCCUACGGGAGGCAGCAGUAGGGAAUUUUCCACAAUGGACGAAAGUCUGAUGGAGCAAUGCCGCGUGAGGGAUGACGGUCUUCGGAUUGUAAACCUCUGUUGUAAGGGAAGAACAAACAGUAUAGGAAAUGAUACUGUUCUGACGGUACCUUACCAGAAAGUCACGGCUAACUAUGUGCCAGCAGCCGCGGUAAU
rnacentral:rRNA from 1 species